AAUAUUUUACAAUGGGGGCAACCCUGAUCCAGCCAUUCCGCGUGAGUGAUGAAGGCCUUAGGGUUGUAAAGCUCUUUCAGUGGGGAAGAUAAUGACGGUACUCACACAAGAAUCCCCGGCUAACUUCGUGCCAGCAGCCGCGGUAAUACGAAGGGGGCUAGCGUUGUUCGUAUUUACUGGGCGGAAAGCGCACGUAGGCGGAUGGGUCAGUUAGGGGUGAAAUCCCGGAGCUCAACUCCGGAACUGCCUUUAAUACUGCCAGUCUAGAGUCCGAGAGAGGUGAGUGGAACUCCUAGUGUAGAGGUGGAAUUCGUAGAUAUUAGGAAGAACACCAGUGGCGAAGGCGGCUCACUGGCUCGGUACUGACGCUGAGGUGCGAAAGCGUGGGGAGCAAAC
rnacentral:rRNA from 1 species